rnacentral:rRNA from 1 species
UGAGGAAUAUUGGUCAAUGGGCGGGAGCCUGAACCAGCCAAGCCGCGUGAGGGAGGAAGGCCCUAUGGGUCGUAAACCUCUUUUGUCAGGGAACAAAAGCGAGUAUGUAUACUAGUCUGAGUGUACCUGAAGAAAAAGCAUCGGCUAACUCCGUGCCAGCAGCCGCGGUAAUACGGAGGAUGCGAGCGUUAUCCGGAUUUAUUGGGUUUAAAGGGUGCGUAGGCGGCGAUGCAAGUCAGCGGUAAAAGCCCGGGGCUCAACCCCGGCGAGCCGUUGAAACUGCAGUGCUAGAGAAGGCGAGAGGUACGCGGAAUGCGCAGUGUAGCGGUGAAAUGCUUAGAUAUUGCGCAGAACUCCGAUUGCGAAGGCAGCGUACUGGCGCCUGACUGACGCUGAGGUUCGAAAGCGUGGGUAGCAAACAGGAUUAGAUACCC